AAUUAAGUAAUUAUACUCCCUCACUUCUCUCAAAACGCACAUACACACCCACUCUUCCCUGCUGAAUCCUUAUUUUCGAAACAUACACAAUCUUGUCGUGGAAAGUCGUCUUCUCCUUGUCACCGCUGAGCAUCGUGCUCUGAAUUGUUGUGUCCUUGGCUCCCUCAUCAUCGUCAGUCAAGUUCCUGUCCACACCGUCGUCAUGCUCGACGUUGAGGAUUUUAAGAUGCCCAAGAAAGCUCGCUACACAAAAAGAACAAGAGUGCAAAUACCAUGUCAGCAUCCUCCAAUUGCACCUCAUGCAUCUUCACCACCCACUAACGAUAACUGGCUCAUUCCCUCGUCCCGCCCCCUCUCCCCUAAUGGUGGUGUCUCUGCAGCGGCUCCUCUCCGACCCUUUCGUCUGCCCCAGAGCGAACCAAGACCUGAGACACAGACCGCUAACGAUGUACAAAUGACGGAACUGUGCAUGAAGACAUGGACCUGGAGGCGAACGAGGUAGAUUCGUUUGACGAACACAUUGACAGGAUAUUUGCUGCUUCUGAUGCUAAAAAGUGCAAAAGACGCAAGACUACUGAGUUUUGGGAUGUUGAUCUUAUUAGUAACAAGUGUUUAACCAUAUGACUUUUUAAUUAAUUUGCUAAUGAUAUUGUAUGUUUCUCACAUGUUGGGCACAACGGAUACAUUAAUAAGAUUUUAUUUUUUAUAAAUCCUGAUGGAAUAAUCAAGUAAGCAAAGAUGAGUGUGAGGGAGGCUAUGGAUCGGCCUCUUAAUGGUAGCAAGAUCAUACUGAGGUUCAACGAGGAACUGUAAGUAAUCAGAGAUGGAGCCAGCCUGUUGAGUGGCAUUCUUUGAGUGUUGGGUUCUGAUUACAGCAAGUUUUCUAUCUGUGAAAAAAGUUGGGCAAAGGUGCUAGGCAAAGACAGGGUAUAUGAUGAUUGCAUAAAGAAGAUGUUCCACUUUCAUGAAGAUAGCGGUGGUAGAAUUAAGAAAAUAUUUUUGCAACAAAUGGGGAGGUCCUAGAAGGAUACAAGGGAUAGCUUGUAUGACAUGCAUUACAAACCAACAAGGACACCUGAGCAAAAUCUUGAGAACUGUCCAGCGGGAAUUCCUAAAGAGCAUUGGAGGUGGUUCCUUGAUUAUCGCAAUGAUCCUGCAACAAAGGCAAAGUGCAGGCAAAAUGCAAUGAAUCAAAAGAAGCAACUUUAUACUCACACUGGCAGUUCUAAAAGCUUGGCUAAGGCAAGAAAAAAAGAGGUAGUAUAGAUUUGAAUUCAAGUAUAGGUGCCUAUCAUUGUUUUGAAUAAUUCUCUUUUUUUAAGCAAAUCAUUCUUGAGUUUUCAGUUAUAAGGAAUUGACAAAUGAUGUUGACUUCCAAAAAAGUAAUGCUGGAAGUAUUAAAAUAAUUUUACUAUUUAAGUAUAAUCAAUUACUUAAUCCUUGAAAAAUAUAUGGAGCAAUCAUUAGAUACUUAAUCGAUUGAGGUAAAAUAAAUUGGUUGGUAUGUAGUUUGGGUUUAUUUAUAGAGUAAAACAAGAAAAAAUUUAUUGGAGAAAAUUAAAGAAGUGAAAUUUAUGGUAUAAACUGUAUUGUCACAAUCACAAAAAUAAGGGAGGAGAGUUGGUAGGAGAGAAGUAUGGAUCCUAAAGCACAAACGACGUGAUGGAACCUAUAUACACGAAGAAACUCAGAGGAUUGGUGUAAGUACACUUAAUAAUUUAUGUUGUAACAUGUUGGGUUUAAUUAUUAAAAUGUCUUGAGUAUGCUAUAUUCCUAGUGUGAUUGUGUAUGCUUAUUUACGUCUGCAGGAAAAAAUAUCUAAGAUUGAGUAGCUGGAUGAAACUAUGAGAAUAUUGUCUGAAAAUAAUUCACUUGCCCAAGCUCUCGGUAAAGAGCACUCGGGUAGAGUUCUUGGCAUAGGUUUUGGGCUGACACUAAGUCAACUCUUCCGUCCGAGUUCGCAGCCACCGAUGGCUAGAGCUCAAACAGAAGAGGCCCAAAGGAUACUGUUUGAACUACAGGUGGAGGUGACGGCCAAGAAAUUUAGAAGGCAGUGGAGGAUGAAGUAGUAGCAGAAAAAUUGAAAAGGAAGGCAAUGGAAGAUGAAGUAGCAACAGAGAAAACGAAGAGGCAGACAAUAGAGAGUGUGCUGGCUUAUUUGAUCCAACAACAAGGUGGGGAGUUGCCACCAGACA